rnacentral:tRNA from 1 species
GUCCCCAUCGUCUAGCCAGGUCCAGGACAUCGGGCUUUCAAUCCGGUAACGCGGGUUCAAAUCCCGCUGGGGACA